rnacentral:rRNA from 1 species
GAUGAACGCUAGCAGCAGGCUUAAUACAUGCAAGUCGAGGGGCAGCAUGAUUGUAGCAAUACAAUUGAUGGCGACCGGCAAACGGGUGCGGAACACGUACACAACCUUCCAAUAAGUGGGGAAUAGCCCAGAGAAAUUUGGAUUAAUACCCCGUAACAUAACGAUGUGGCAUCACAUUGUUAUUAUAGAUUUUUCGCUUAUUGAUGGGUGUGCGGCUGAUUAGAUAGUUGGCGGGGCAACGGCCCACCAAGUCUACGAUCAGUAGCUGAUGUGAGAGCAUGAUCAGCCACACGGGCACUGAGACACGCGCCCGACUCCUACCGGAGGCAGCAGUAAGUAAUAUUGGACAAUGGACGCAAGUCUGAUCCAGCCAUGCCGCGUGUGUGAAGAAGGCCUUAUGGUUGUAAAGCACUUUAAGCGAGGAGGAGGCUCUUUUGGUUAAUACCCAAGAUGAGUGGACGUUACUCGCAGAAUAAGCACCGGCUAACUCUGUGCCAGCAGCCGCCGUAAAAC